UCGGGAAUAUUGCGCAAUGGAGGAAACUCUGACGCAGUGACGCCGCGUGCAGGAAGAAGGUUUUCGGAUUGUAAACUGCUUUAGACAGGGAAGAAAAAAUGACAGUACCUGUAGAAUAAGCUCCGGCUAACUACGUGCCAGCAGCCGCGGUAAUACGUAGGGAGCAAGCGUUAUCCGGAUUUAUUGGGUGUAAAGGGUGCGUAGACGGGAAAACCAGGUUAGUUGUGAAAUCCCUCGGCUUAACUGAGGAACUGCAACUAAAACUAUUUUUUCUUGAGUGCUGGAGAGGAAAGUGGAAUUCCUAGUGUAGCGGUGAAAUGCGUAGAUAUUAGGAGGAACACCAGUGGCGAAGGCGACUUUCUGGACAGUAACUGACGUUGAGGCACGAAAGUGUGGGGAGCAAACAGGAUUAGAUACCC
rnacentral:rRNA from 1 species